rnacentral:ncRNA from 1 species
UGUCUUCGGGGCGGAGUGAAAUUCUCCACCGGUGGUAUAGUCCACGAACAGGCAAAUUUGCCUGCCGAGCCUGUGCAAUUCAGGCACCGACGGUUACAGUCCGGAUGAAAGAAGAC